rnacentral:rRNA from 1 species
CGCAUCUGUGCAUGCAGCAUAUCAAUAAGCGGAGGAAAAGAAACUAACAAGGAUUCCCCUAGUAACGGCGAGUGAAGCGGGAAGAGCUCAAAUUUGAAAUCUUAAAGGGUUUCCCUUUACGAAUUGUAGUUUAAAGAAGUGUUUUCUGUUGAGGUUUUGGUAAAAGUUCUUUGGAAUAGGACAUCAUAGAGGGUGAGAAUCCCGUAUUUGACCUUUACUUUCAACUUUGUAAUACACUUUCAAAGAGUCGGAUUGUUUGGGAAUGCAGUCCAAAAUGGGUGGUAAAUUUCAUCUAAAGCUAAAUAUUGGCGAGAGACCGAUAGCGAACAAGUACCGUGAGGGAAAGAUGAAAAGAACUUUGAAAAGAGAGUUAAACAGUACGUGAAAUUGUCAAAAGGGAAGCGUUUGACACCAGUGUUGUUUUUCUGAAAAUCAAUUAAAGAACUGUUUAUGCUAAGUUGUUUAGACUUUAUCAGCUAACUGUUUAGUUUUGAGCUUUUCUUUAAUGCACUUUUCAGUUAACAAGUCAACAUCAAUUUCUUUUGCUGUAAAAAGCUUGAGGAAGGUGGCUUGAGAUUCGUCUUAAGUGUUUAUAGCCUCUUGCCUAUGCAGUCGGAGAGAUUGAGGUCUGCAGCGUAGAUCCUUCGGGGCUAAAUGCAUUUGUGCUAAGUUAUAGCAUUUUAUAGACAACUUGUUGACUAUGAUUUGUCUUGUAGCUUACUCGCUUAUGUUAUUUUACCUACGCUUAGGAUGUUGAGUCGUAGAGCACGCAG